rnacentral:ncRNA from 1 species
UUAAGAAAAAGGCAAACUUAGUGAAAACUAGGGACGCAAAGCUACGGGCCUAAAGCAAAAGCUAUGGUCGCCGGGUUGCCGAA